GCCCCGGUGGUGAAAUCGGUAAACACAAGAGACUUAAAAUCUCUCGAUCGCAAGGUCUUACCAGUUCAAGUCUGGUCCGGGGCACCA
rnacentral:tRNA from 1 species